rnacentral:rRNA from 1 species
UACGAAGGGGGCUAGCGUUGCUCGGAUUGACUGGGCGUAAAGGGCGCGUAGGCGGUUCGUACAGUCAGACGUGAAAUGCCUGGGCUCAACCUGGGGGCUGCGUUUGAUACGUGCGGACUUGAGUGCGGAAGAGGGUCGUGGAAUUCCCAGUGUAGAGGUGAAAUUCGUAGAUAUUGGGAAGAACACCGGUGGCGAAGGCGGCGACCUGGUCCGAUACUGACGCUGAGGCGCGAAAGCGUGGGGAGCAAACAGG